rnacentral:tRNA from 1 species
UGUUCUGUGGCGGAGUUGGUAACGCGACUUGUCUAGCAGACUUAAGGAGACGUUGGUUCAAACCCCACCAGAACUG